rnacentral:sRNA from 1 species
UUUGCUAUCAUUCUGGCUAUGGGGGU